GCAGUCGAGGGGUAGGGUUACUUCGGUAAUCUGAGACCUCCGCACGGGUGCGUAACGCGUAUGCAAUCUACCUUUUACUAUGGGAUAGCCCAGAGAAAUUUGGAUUAAUACCAUAUAAUAUAUUUGAAUGGCAUCGUUUGAAUAUUAAAGAUUUAUCGGUAAAAGAUGAGCAUGCGUCCCAUUAGUUAGUUGGUGUGGCAACGGCAUACCAAGACGAUGAUGGGUAGGGGUCCUGAGAGGGAGAUCCCCCACACUGGUACUGAGACACGGACCAGACUCCUACGGGAGGCAGCAGUGAGGAAUAUUGGUCAAUGGAGGCAACUCUGAACCAGCCAUGCCGCGUGCAGGAUGACGGUCCUAUGGAUUGUAAACUGCUUUUGUACGGGAAAGAAAACAAACUACGAGUAGUUAAUUGACGGUACCGUAAGAAUAAGGAUCGGCUAACUCCGUGCCAGCAGCCGCGGUAAUACGGAGGAUCCAAGCGUUAUCCGGAAUCAUUGGGUUUAAAGGGUCCGUAGGCGGCCUUAUAAGUCAGUGGUGAANGUUUUUGGCUUAACCAAAAAUUGCCAUUGAUACUGUAGGGCUUGAAUAUCUGUGAGUACUAAAAUAUGUAGUGUAGCGGUGAAAUGCUUANAUUUUACAUGGAAUCCCGAUUGCCAAGGCAGGUUUCCUAACAAAUGAUUGACCCUGAUGGACCAAGCCGUGGGUACCGAACAGGAUUAAAAUCCNUGGUAGUCCCCGCCNNAACCAUGGAAACUACCUGUUUGGUUUCCGACUGAAUGGUUAACCAAAAGUGA
rnacentral:rRNA from 1 species